AAAGCAAUAAAAGAUCAGCGACUAAAAUUGGAGAGACCACUUUCUUGGCUAUAGUUUUGACAUAUUUUUUGAUGAAUUUCAAGUUGGGAUAAAGGAGAUAUUGGAGUUUGAAGUCAGCUCUUGCAAAUCUAAGGAUAGUAAGUAAUCCGAUUCAUUAGUAGUUGUGUUUUGGGCUAUAACUUGAGAAAUUUGAUAAGAUUUUGGCUCAAAA
rnacentral:lncRNA from 1 species